UCCGAGUUGACCCCGGCAGUCUCCUAUGAGUCCCCGGCUUGAACCGCUGGCAACAUAGGACAAGGGUUGCGCUCGUUGCGGGACUUAACCCAACAUCUCACGGCACGAGCUGACGACAGCCAUGCACCACCUGUGCAGGCUCCGUAGAGCGCCGGCUUUCACCGGCUUUGCCCUGCAUGUCAAGCCCAGGUAAGGUUCUUCGCGUCGCAUCGAAUUAAGCCGCAUGCUCCGCCGCUUGUGCGGGCCCUCGUCAAUUCCUUUGAGUUUUAGCCUUGCGGCCGUACUCCCCAGGCGGGGUGCUUAAUGCGUUAGCUUCGGCACGGACGGGGUCGACACCUCCCACACCUAGUGCCCAUCGUUUACGGCGUGGACUAC
rnacentral:misc_RNA from 1 species